rnacentral:rRNA from 1 species
UACGAAGGGGGCUAGCGUUGCUCGGAAUCACUGGGCGUAAAGGGUGCGUAGGCGGGUCUUUUAAGUCAGGGGUGAAAUCCUGGAGCUCAACUCCAGAACUGCCUUUGAUACUGAGGAUCUUGAGUUCGGGAGAGGUGAGUGGAACUGCGAGUGUAGAGGUGAAAUUCGUAGAUAUUCGCAAGAACACCAGUGGCGAAGGCGGCUCACUGGCCCGAUACUGACGCUGAGGCACGAAAGCGUGGGGAGCAAACAGGAUUAGA